rnacentral:rRNA from 1 species
AGGUUGAACGCUGGCGGCAGGCCUAACACAUGCAAGUCGAGCGGCAGCACGGGUACUUGUACCUGGUGGCGAGCGGCGGACGGGUGAGUAAUGCCUAGGAAUCUGCCUGAUAGUGGGGGAUAACGCUCGGAAACGGACGCUAAUACCGCAUACGUCCUACGGGAGAAAGCAGGGGACCUUCGGGCCUUGCGCUAUCAGAUGAGCCUAGGUCGGAUUAGCUAGUUGGUGGGGUAAUGGCUCACCAAGGCGACGAUCCGUAACUGGUCUGAGAGGAUGAUCAGUCACACCGGAACUGAGACACGGUCCAGACUCCUACGGGAGCAGCAGUGGGGAAUAUUGGACAAU